GAUGAACGCUGGCGGCGUGCUUAACACAUGCAAGUCGAACGGUAAGGCCCUUCGGGGUACACGAGUGGCGAACGGGUGAGUAACACGUGGGUGAUCUGCCCUGCACUUCGGGAUAAGCCUGGGAAACUGGGUCUAAUACCGGAUAGGACCACUGCCUGCAUGGGUGGUGGUGGAAAGCUUUUGCGGUGUGGGAUGGGCCCGCGGCCUAUCAGCUUGUUGGUGGGGUGAUGACCUACCAAGGCGACGACGGGUAGCCGGCCUGAGAGGGUGACCGGCCACACUGGGACUGAGAUACGGCCCAGACUCCUACGGGAGGCAGCAGUGGGGAAUAUUGCACAAUGGGCGCAAGCCUGAUGCAGCGACGCCGCGUGAGGGAUGACGGCCUUCGGGUUGUAAACCUCUUUCAGCAUCGACGAAGCGCAAGUGACGGUAGGUGCAGAAGAAGGACCGGCCAACUACGUGCCAGCAGCCGCCGUAA
rnacentral:rRNA from 1 species